UCAUGAUGAAAUGAGACGCAAUAGCUGGAAUUACCGGCAGAUUGUCUAGUGGUGAACAUAGGGUUUUCUGAAG
rnacentral:snoRNA from 1 species